AUUGAACGCUGGCGGCAGGCUUAACACAUGCAAGUCGAACGAGUGGCGGACGGGUGAGUAAUGCUUGGGAAUCUAGCUUAUGGAGGGGGAUAACUACGGGAAACUGUAGCUAAUACCGCGUCCCAUAGGAUGAGCCCAAGUGGGAUUAGGUAGUUGGUGAGGUAAAGGCUCACCAAUCCGAAGAUCUCUAGCUGGUCUGAGAGGAUGACCAGCCACCCAGGGACGGAUACACGGCCCAGACUCCGUCGGGAGGCAGCCGUGUGUAAUAUUUCGCACUGGGGGCAACCUGACGCAGCCAUGCCGCGUGAAUGAAGAAGGCCUUCGGGUUGUAAAGUUCUUUCGGUAGCGAGGCGUUAACUACAGAAGAAGCACCGGCUAACUCCGUGCCAGCAGCCGCGGUAAUUC
rnacentral:rRNA from 1 species